CCUACGGGGGGCUGCAGUGGGGAAUAUUGGACAAUGGGGGCAACCCUGAUCCAGCCAUGCCGCGUGUGUGAAGAAGGCCCUCGGGUUGUAAAGCACUUUCAGUGAGGAAGAACGCCUGGUGGUUAAUACCCAUCAGGAAAGACAUCACUCACAGAAGAAGCACCGGCUAACUCCGUGCCAGCAGCCGCGGUAAUACGGAGGGUGCGAGCGUUAAUCGGAAUUACUGGGCGUAAAGCGCGCGUAGGUGGCUUGAUAAGCCGGUUGUGAAAGCCCCGGGCUCAACCUGGGAACGGCAUCCGGAACUGUCAAGCUAGAGUACAGGAGAGGAAGGUAGAAUUCCCGGUGUAGCGGUGAAAUGCGUAGAGAUCGGGAGGAAUACCAGUGGCGAAGGCGGCCUUCUGGACUGACACUGACACUGAGGUGCGAAAGCGUGGGUAGCAAACAGGAUUAGAUACCCCAGUAGUC
rnacentral:rRNA from 1 species